GAGCUUCGAGUUCCCUUGGACCGGUUCCACCAUCUCGGACGUAGACCGCCGCUAGACCCCUCCCCUCCCCUCCUUUCCUCGGCUCCUCCCUCCCCCGGCCCAAUCGCCCGCCGCCGAGACCGGCGUGGUCCCUGCUCCCGUGAUCGAAACAGGCGGCGCGGCAGCGGUGAAGGAGGAUAGGGGGACGAGACCGCCGGGCGCGCGCUAGCGGCGAGGGCAGCGGGUGCUGACCGAGGGCGCACGGCACGCGGUUGGCCUGGCAGCGGAGAUUGCGGGCGCCGCAGGCCCGGGAGGAGCGCCGCGGCUAGCAGAGCCGAGUGCUGAGGCGGAGGCGGGCGGGCCGCAGCAAUCGGCUCCUCAGGCGUUAUUUUUUCCCCCGCAGUUGAGUGGAACCACUUCUGAUCCUUUAUCUAUAAAUAUUGAUGGAGCUAGCUGAGUAGAAAUGGAGAGCAAUCAAGAUUCUCAAGAAGAAAGGCUUCAAAGAAGGGAGAAUGGUGAAGAAGCAGAAAAGGCGGUUGAUUACGGAAAUGCUUUGACUCGCAAGAAGGCAACAGAAGAGCUUCUUGGUUGCGUAGUCCAUAGUGAGGAAGAGGCAUACAAACUGUAUUGUGACUAUGGGCAUCGAAUUGGUUUUAGUGUGCGGAAGGGCAAACAGUCUUACUUUAUUGGUACCAAGAAUAUUCGGACAAAGGAUUACUAUUGCUCAAAGGAAGGGCUUAAAUAUGAUGAGCCUGUUACAGAAGCAAAUUUUAAUCGACCAGACACAAGAACUAAUUGCAAAGCAAUGAUCCGCUUUAGAGUUGACGAGAAGGGACGAUGGACAGUUAUUCGCUUUGUUCCUGACCAUAAUCACCAAUUGGCGAAACCUGGGGAAAGGCACAUGCUGAGAUCGGCCAAGUCACUUGCUGUUGGCAGAUCAGGUGUUAUAGAUCCAUCAGCAUCUACAGUGCCACAUCCAAUAAAUGGUUUCUCUGAUAUGAUUGAAGGUGAUAUAGCUGAGAAUCCAGAGUAUACUAUAAGGGAUUGCUACAAUCAAGUGAGAAUACAGGGUAUAACGAUAAUUGAGGCUGGGGACAGCCAAAAUCUUGUCAGCUAUUUCAAGCGUAGAACCAACGAGGAAGGCAUGUUUUAUUGGGAUGUCCAAGUUGAUCAAGAAGGGCGCAUGACAAAUUUCUUCUACAGGGAUGGUAAAAGUAGAAAUGAUUAUGACUGCUUUGGAGACGCUGUUAUAUUUGACACAACUUACCGCACAAAUAAAUAUAACUUGAUAUGUGCCCCAUUUGUUGGUGUUGACCACCAUUGGCAGAAUGUUGUUUUCGGCUGUGCAUUCUUGUUAGAUGAAUCUGUAUCUUCCUACAUUUGGGUAUUUAAAUCAUUCUUGGAGUCAAUGGGAGGCCGAUCACCAAAAUCAAUUUUCACUGAUCAGGACGAAGCUAUUAUGCAGGCAAUCGAGCAGGUUUUUCCUAACACACAACAUUGCUUUUCCUACUGGCAUAUUCUGAAGAAUGCACAAUCUCAUUUAGGCACACUAAAUACUUCACAAGCAUUUCAAAAUAUGUUUAUGAAGUGUAUGCAUGGAUCUGACUCGGAAGAGGAGUUUGAGGAAUCUUGGACUGCAAUGCUCCAUGAAUACAAACUACAGGAUAAUAGCUGGCUGAUUGACCUUUAUAGGUUCCGUCAUAAAUGGUGCUCAGCAUUUAACAAAGAUACCUUUGAUGGUGGGAUGAAUUCAUCACAAUGGGGGGAAGUUUCAAACAAUAUUCUCAAUGGAAUUUCUGAUGAAUCUACUUCUCUUACACGUUUCUCCCUUUUGCUAGAAAAGGUUGUCAAGGCUCUACGUAGAAAUGAAUCUGAAGAGGAUUUUCGCUGUAGCCAAACUGCUCCAGUUCGUGCAAUUAAGCAUAGUACAGUUCUGAAGCAGGCUGCAGAAUCAUAUACUCAUAGGAUCUACAAACUAUUUGAGGCAGAAUUUCUGGAUGGAUGUGGAGCAACAUCAUGCCAUGAAACUUCGUCCGGUGGAAAUUUAUUGAGAUAUGAAAUUACGAUGCAGGGGAGGGGUUCAAAAGUAUGGGCUGCUCUUGACACUUCCACCAUGGAGAUCACUUGUGGUUGCAGAAAGUUUGAAAGGAUGGGUCUUCUUUGUUCGCAUGCUCUCAAAACCUUCAGCCUGCAGAAUGUGGACACAAUUCCAGAAAAGUAUAUUUUGAAACGCUGGACAAAAGAUGCCAAGAGAAGCAUGUAUAAACUUGCUCAAGAUGAUUCAACCCAACAGGAAUGCACUGAGGCUGAACUUGCAUAUCGUAAUCGAGCAAUGCAGUACGCAUAUAACCUAAUUAUGAAGAGUCAGGAAUUGGAAGAAUCAAGAAAAAUAUUCUGGGACUCCCUUGAAACCGGAGAGAAGGCACUGGAAGUAUUCUUUGAAAUGAGAAACUUGCGCACUCAAGCUGCAAAAGAUGCUAGUAAAAGGGAGAAAAAGAAGAAAAAACUAUCAAAAGGACCAAACUCAAAAAAAGCAAAGCAAGUCCCAACAUCUUCCUCAAUUGGCCAGGAGCUAAUUGUCCAAACUAAUGAGCAUCAGUUUCCAUCUUCACAAGAUGCUCAGGGUCAUGCGACAAUUGGAAGACCAAUUUACUAUCAGCAGGCUUUUCCAACUGCCCCUAUGCAACCGAACCAGAUCUACAUGCAUCCGAAUAUGCACACAAUGCCUCUUUGCACGCCACAGCUCAUUCUCGAGCUGUGAUGGUGGCCAUGGUUGAAGCCCUUGAUGGCUGGAUGAUGGCUCCAAAGUGCACUUUGUCAUGCAAGAGAAGAACAGCGAGGAGGAAAUCUGGCAGACGAUUCCUGAAGGUGAAUGAUCCAUUGGUGUGACUCGAAGUUGAGGAAGCCGCCAGAGACAUGGCCGCAAGGGCAAUCGACAGCAGGCAGCAACAACACCCUUCACACCAUGGAACACAAUGGUGCAGGAUUUGUCUUCAUAUGCUGCAAUACGUCCCAAUUCAAAUUUCGAUGCCGCCAAGAAUAUCUGAAGGAUAUUAAGGUAUGCAAUGUCAAUCUUUUGUGUGCCGUGCGACCAUGUGGAACUAUUUUCUUUGUCUUAUUGCUCUUGCUGCCACUUCUGGCAAGAGGAUGCAUAUUUCUGCAGUAGUAGGAUGAUGCAUUUUCCUUGUAUUUUUCUCAAAUGUGAACAUCAGAAUUGGAUACCAGUCCUGUCCUGGGCUGGUAUCAGUGUUAACAGGGCAAUGGCCAGUUACACCAAGCUUCUAUGCCUGCUCUACGCAUGAUACCGACCCCUGCUGCAGUCAAACACUUACAUGCUAAUGCCUUGUUACUCUUAUUUUAUGUCUCUGGAAAAUCUUGUUCGGGGAUUGCUGCUACCAACUGCAGCUUGAACUUCGUCAACCUUCAUGUAGGCCUUGCGGUGCUUGUUCAUGUUGGUUUAUGAGUCCUUUCUACUGAUCUUUAGGGAAGUGGCUAUUCUGGCUAUUGCUAUGCAACCUCUUCUGCGUAGAGAAGUAGCGUGUUAUUCAUCUCAGGCAGGCAAUUGUAGGCUUGUAAAUUGUAAGUUAUGUACGAGAGAUCGAGAAUAGUGGUCAUUGCGUAUAUGCAGAAUCAGAAUCCAGUUGCAAACUAGACUCAUGCAGGGAUCAAUUCUCUUGUGCUAAGGGCUGUCUCAGGCCAAACAUAAACCGGUCGAGUGACACCACCUACUCACCUCCUGGCAUGUGGCGAGAAUAGAUGGAGAUCUCCAUCCGCCUCGUGCGCGGAUUUCUCUUAUUUGAAGGCAGUUUCCUGCAUGAGUUGAGCUUGAGCAGCAGAAUCGCUGUAUGAAGAAGGAAGCAGAAGAUGCUGCACGGGUGUCGUCGAUUCGAACUGACAUAGACCUCUGUUUUUUUUUUGGGG